rnacentral:lncRNA from 1 species
CCUUUUGGUGAUGAGUCUCACGGCUCACCAGGCAAGUCCUUGGAUGACAAACAGUCCAUCCAUCCGCCUGAAUUAGAUAACUUCACACCAGCUUGGUAGAACCAGCCAGAGAUUGUGUUCCAUCAGCAUAAUCAGGGACCCCAGCAGCCAUGGUAAGGGAUGGAAGGAGGACAUCCACGGAGGCUGAUCAAUGUUCUUCCUCCAAUCUAGAGCGUAUACACUGGAUCUGGAGAUCAAGAGCCUAGACAGAGAAUCUAGUUCAUCUACAUCAUGCGUGAGGAGCCCAGACAGUCCCUGGUUCACACCUCCAAAAAAGGCAAGGAAAGAAGUAAGCCUUUAUACUCACCACAGUGACCGUCUAAAAGAAAAAGCACUCCUCCAGGGGUCCAAUUCCACAGCCAAGUGUCUUCACCCCAAGACCAGGUCUGUUGUUACAAUAAGAAGGUAAACACCCUUUGGGUAAAUUCAUCUAAGUGGC